rnacentral:rRNA from 1 species
GGGGAAUAUUGGACAAUGGGGGGAACCCUGAUCCAGCCAUGCCGCGUGUGUGAAGAAGGCCUUAUGGUUGUAAAGCACUUUAAGCGAGGAGGAGGCUCUCUUGGUUAAUACCCAAGAUGAGUGGACGUUACUCGCAGAAUAAGCACCGGCUAACUCUGUGCCAGCAGCCGCGGUAAUACAGAGGGUGCGAGCGUUAAUCGGAUUUACUGGGCGUAAAGCGUGCGUAGGCGGCUUUUUAAGUCGGAUGUGAAAUCCCCGAGCUUAACUUGGGAAUUGCAUUCGAUACUGGGAAGCUAGAGUAUGGGAGAGGAUGGUAGAAUUCCAGGUGUAGCGGUGAAAUGCGUAGAGAUCUGGAGGAAUACCGAUGGCGAAGGCAGCCAUCUGGCCUAAUACUGACGCUGAGGUACGAAAGCAUGGGGAGCAAACAGGA